AUUCUGGCUCAGGAUGAACGCUGGCGGCGUGCUUAACACAUGCAAGUCGAACGAGAAUCUGUGGAAAGAGGAUUCGUCCAAUUGAAGCAGAGGACAGUGGCGGACGGGUGAGUAACGCGUGAGGAACCUGCCUUUCAGAGGGGGACAACAGUUGGAAACGACUGCUAAUACCGCAUGACACAUAGGUGUCGCAUGGCACUUAUGUCAAAGAUUUAUCGCUGAAAGAUGGCCUCGCGUCUGAUUAGCUAGUUGGUGAGGUAACGGCCCACCAAGGCGACGAUCAGUAGCCGGACUGAGAGGUUGAACGGCCACAUUGGGACUGAGAUACGGCCCAGACUCCUACGGGAGGCAGCAGUGGGGAAUAUUGCACAAUGGGCGCAAGCCUGAUGCAGCGACGCCGCGUGCGGGAUGACGGCCUUCGGGUUGUAAACCGCUUUUGACUGGGAGCAAGCCCUUCGGGGUGAGUGUACCUUUCGAAUAAGCACCGGCUAACUACGUGCCAGCAGCCGCGGUAAUACGUAGGGUGCAAGCGUUAUCCGGAAUUAUUGGGCGUAAAGGGCUCGUAGGCGGUUCGUCGCGUCCGGUGUGAAAGUCCAUCGCUUAACGGUGGAUCCGCGCCGGGUACGGGCGGGCUUGAGUGCGGUAGGGGAGACUGGAAUUCCCGGUGUAACGGUGGAAUGUGUAGAUAUCGGGAAGAACACCAAUGGCGAAGGCAGGUCUCUGGGCCGUCACUGACGCUGAGGAGCGAAAGCGUGGGGAGCGAACAGGAUUAGAUACCCUGGUAGUCCACGCCGUAAACGGUGGAUGCUGGAUGUGGGGACCAUUCCACGGUCUCCGUGUCGGAGCCAACGCGUUAAGCAUCCCGCCUGGGGAGUACGGCCGCAAGGCUAAAACUCAAAGAAAUUGACGGGGGCCCGCACAAGCGGCGGAGCAUGCGGAUUAAUUCGAUGCAACGCGAAGAACCUUACCUGGGCUUGACAUGUUCCCGACAGCCCCAGAGAUGGGGCCUCCCUUCGGGGCGGGUUCACAGGUGGUGCAUGGUCGUCGUCAGCUCGUGUCGUGAGAUGUUGGGUUAAGUCCCGCAACGAGCGCAACCCU
rnacentral:rRNA from 1 species